rnacentral:snRNA from 1 species
GUACAGUGGCGUAUUGGUUGCAGGAGUAGAACCAACAAGUGCCCUCCUUAAUGCCCAUCACCCAUUUAGCCCAUCCCCCACCCACUGCCCCUCCAGUAACCCCCAGUUCUCUAUAUUUAAGAAUCUCUUACGGUUUGCCGCCUUCUCUGUUUUUAUCUUAUUUUUCCUUGGGUUUUUUUUUUUUUGAUCUUUUUUAAGGUGGAAUCAAAAAACUUGUGUUUGUAGGAGAACGUAGGGUAGUCAAGCUUCCAAGACUCCAGACACAUCCAAAUGAGGCGCUGCACGUGGCAGUCUGCCUUUCUUC